rnacentral:rRNA from 1 species
AGUUUGAUCAUGGCUCAGGAUGAACGCUAGCUGGAGGCUUAAUACAUGCAAGUCGAGCGGGAUUGGGUAGCAAUACCCAUGAGAGCGGCGCACGGGUGAGUAACGCGUACACGACCUACCUCUGACAGGGGGAUAGCCCUGGGAAACUGGGAUUAAUACCGCAUAUUAUUCUGAAUAAUAAAGGUUUGGAAUGAAAGCUGAGGCGGUCAGAGAUGGGUGUGCGUCUGAUUAGCUAGUUGGUAGGGUAACGGCCUACCAAGGCGAUGAUCAGCAGGGGGCGUGAGAGCGUGGUCCCCCACACGGGUACUGAGACACGGACCCGACUCCUACGGGAGGCAGCAGUAAGGAAUAUUGGUCAAUGGGCGAAAGCCUGAACCAGCCAUCCAGCGUGCAGGAAGAAGGCCCUAUGGGUUGUAAACUGCUUUUAUCAGGGAAGAAACCUCUGGAUUUACUCCGGAGCUGACGGUACCUGAAGAAUAAGCACCGGCUAACUCCGUG